rfam:Moniliophthora roreri MCA 2997 sctg_0219_0006, whole genome shotgun sequence.
GGGGGUAUAGCUCAGCUGGGAGAGCAGCAGACUGAAGCUCCAUGUUGGAUUACAUGUUAUUCUGAAGGUCCCGCGUUCGAUCCGCGGUACCCCCA